rnacentral:rRNA from 1 species
UGGCGAACGGGUGAGUAACGCGUGAGGAACCUGCCUCAAAGAGGGGACGAACAGUUGGAACGACUGCUAAUACCGCAUAAGCCCACGGGUCGGCAUCGACCUGAGGGAAAAGGAGCAAUCCGCUUUGAGAUGGCCUCGCGUCCGAUUAGCUAGUUGGUGAGGUAACGGCCCACCAAGGCGACGAUCGGUAGCCGGACUGAGAGGUUGAACGGCCACAUUGGGACUGAGACACGGCCCAG